GAGAGAGAGAGAGAGAGAGAAAGAGAACGAGGCUGUGCACAUGGAUGGAUGAUAAGGGAAGAAUCCAACAUCACAUGAGGAUUGGAUUACCUAGAUGGCUCCUCUGCAAUUCAGAUAAUUUUUCAAAUAAUUAUGAAUUUUACUUGACAUUUGAAGAAUUUGAAGCCUAUAAAUAAGUUUUAUGUAGCUAACAAGAUAUGCAGCUUCUGCUUGAUCACAUCCAUGUGCACAGCCUCAUUCUCUUUCUCUCUCUCUCUUACAUACAU
rnacentral:miRNA from 1 species